rnacentral:snRNA from 1 species
GUGCUCGCUUCGGCAGCACAUAUGCUAAAAUUGGAAGGAUACAGAGAAGAUUAGCAUGACCCCUGCACAAGGAUGACGGGCAAAUUCGUGAAGCAGUCCGUAUUUUU